rnacentral:rRNA from 1 species
UACAGCGGGUGCGAGCGUUAAUCGGAAUUACUGGGCGUAAAGGGCGCGUAGGCGGUUAUAUAAGUUAGAUGUGAAAUCCCUGGGCUUAACCUAGGAACUGCAUCUAAGACUGUAUAACUGGAGUGCAGUAGAGGGUAGUGGAAUUUCCGGUGUAGCGGUGAAAUGCGUAGAUAUCGGAAGGAACACCAGUGGCGAAGGCGGCUACCUGGACUGACACUGACGCUGAGGCGCGAGAGCGUGGGGAGCAAACAGG